UUAGUUAGAUAGAAAGAAAAGUAAGCAAGAAAGAAAAGAAAGAUUAGUUAGAAAGAAAGAAAAAGAAAAAAGAAAGAUUAGCUAGAAAGAAGAAAGACUGAUUAGUUAGAACGAAAGAAAAAAGAAAGAUUUGUUAGAAAGGAAAGAAAGAUUAGUUAGAAAGA